rnacentral:lncRNA from 1 species
CAAACCCUAAAUACUAAUCCACUACUUCAUCGUUCUUUGCAGAGUCGUGUAAACCACAAAGAUGGAAUCGGAUCCCUUAUGUUCUUUUGUCUCUAUUAUUGAUAUCUUUCACACUUUCCCUUUUUCUCCAAACCCUUGCUGCAUCCGGUUCUUCCUACGGCGAUUCAUCAAUAUUAAUCACAACUAUUCUUCAAUGGUAACACAGAUGAAUCUCCUACCUUUGGAAACUGAUGUCGCACAUUAGGUUGAUCAUAUGGGUUAUGAGAUGGUAAACAAAGAUGUUAUUUCAGGUGUUGACUGGAAUUGGUACAAAAUCCUAUUCUUUUUUAUUUUAUUUACUUUGGUUUUUACCCAAUUUUAUAAUGGCUCUGUUUUCUGUAGCCAAUCAUUUUCGUUGUUCUAUUCGGAUCACAAGUUGACCCAAGUUAAUAACCGAUCAUAAUGAUAUUUUUCGUUUCUUCUAUCCUUUAAUGAUUGGCUUUCUUAUUGGAUAAAGAAUGUUUGUUACCCAAAAAUAUAAAUAAGAUAAAAUUAUGUGUUCUUUAUACAAAAUUUGCCUUUAUAAAAGCAAGUGGUGUUACUUUGGUUUUUACUUUUGGAACAGUUUGUUUUAUUUCUCUUUCAUAUAAUCAUUUGUUUCAAAAAACUUUAUAUAAUGCAUGGGUGACAUUUUCAAAGUUGUGGCAUUCUGUCAUAUCCAAACGACUGCAGUUGCAACAAUUGAAGCACAACUUAAAGUUACACAAGAAACAAGUAAGACUUCUGAAAAUUAACUUCUAUAGAUAUUCUCAAAUCUUGAAAAAUCGAAAGCAGCAGUACAAAACAUUUUUUUUUUGAACGGCUAAGGUUUGAACCUGGGACCUAACCUCUCCUUAAUAGGCAUGUGCCUAUACCAAGUGGACUGCUACACAUUGGCGAUAGUAAAUGCAUGAUUUAAUGACUAAAUAAAUACAUGAAUUAAAGAAAUCUUUGAUUCAUGAAAUUUAGGAAAUCAUCAAAAUCAGACAGCUUAAGCUGGUUUUCCACCAAAGUAGGUUUUUUAAGAAUAGAUCAUAACUUUAUAUUCUUUUAACGAUUUUAUAAAUGAUUUCAUAUUAAGAGAGGCCAUGGGGUAGCUCAGUAUCUUGAUAAAUCGCAGGUAUGUAUUGUAAUGUUGUUGGUUUGUUUUUAGUGUUUUUAUUUGGUUGUUCUAAUGGUUUGUUGUUUGGGUCGGAACAUGUGGAUUGAAUUUGCUCUUUUACAACCCUUUUACAGUUCUUUCAUGUUUCAUUGCAUGAUUCAAUCACCCAUUUUAUUCAAAAAAAAAAUUCUUUUACAACCCUUUAAUUCAAUAGGAUGUUCUUUCAUGUUACAGUUCUUUCAUGUUACAGUUCUUUCAUGUUACAUUGGGUCGGAACAUGUGGAUUGAAUUUGCUUUUACAACCCUUUUACAGUUCUUUCAUGUUACAAAUUGAUCAUGAUGUCGAAACAGUCGAGAGUGUUUUUCAUGUGUAUGUUAAAAAACGUGGUCUGUUAGAGAUGUGAACAUAAAAAGAUAUUUUAAAAGUGGUUUUAUUUGACUCUGUGUCAACAUUUUAUGCAUACAUGUUACAAAACUCAUGUUUGAAUAUUCAACUAAGCGGUCUAAUGUUUGUUCUAAUGCUAUGCUUCUGUUUGGUCAUCUGCCUCGACUGGGUCUGGUCCAGUUUUUUUACCAUGUACUGUGUAGAACCCUAGACGUGAAGACCAACAAUCGUCCUUGGUAUUUUUUAGUUGUAAAUAGUAUUUUGCAAGACACGAGCUACACCGCUCGGUAAGUUUGUUUUGGAAAUUUCAUUAUUUUUGCAAUUAGCUGCAUAAGUUUGUUUUGGAAACAUUUUAGUUUAUUUGCAUCAAUGAAUAUCGACGAGAAUAUGCGAGUCGUACUGAUUGACUGGCUCAUUUAAGUAACUUCAGCUGGAAACUGUGGUGCUCCAGGGGUAUCUUCAUCAUUUUAGGUUGGGUAAUGAGUUAUCUGUGUGUGCAACAAGACGUUUGGGGUUUCUCAGCCUUUGUUACAUCCACAGUGGUUGCGGCAAGAUUCUCGCCCUGUUCAUUAUUCAUAUAGGCGUUCUGUUUGGUUAUCUGGGCUUGCUGGGUGGAUUUCGGGUUUACUACCGGGACAUACGAGGCUGUGAGGAGACCUGUAUGGGGCGGCUAGGCUGGGAUUUUAAUCAUCUGUUGAAGGCCCGGGCUUGGUCGGAGUUAUGUUUGUUUUGUGCUAUUGAGAUGGAGCCCACUUUAAGCUUUAUGGCCCAGAUUAAUUACAAAAUUUUGAUGCAGGAGGCCGGUUUUGCGGGUGCCAUCCUGGGCUGUCUGGCUAUGCUUAUGGCCGGGCUGAUGAUUGUCAAGAUGAAGACCCACCGCUGGGUUUGCAAAAUGGUGUUCAAGACUCAGAUGCAUGAUGGUGUUGAGAAGCCGCGCAAUAUGGCAAAGGUCAUUAACUCAAGGUGGGUUGGUAGUAGGUGGGCUCGCCAUUUCAAUACUCAAAAGGGUAACUGAAUCAAUUCUUUUGAUUCUUGAUUCAUCCGUAGUGCAAUGUUUUGAGUUGAUGGAGGAUCUUGAAUAGACUACAUGACAGGAAUGGGAAAUUAUACUACAAAGAUUGUUUAGACGCCCACAUGGAAUGUACUUGAGUGCAAAAGAUAAAGGAGAGAUGAUGUCAAUAAUCUAUAACUGGCCAGCUGCUAAGGUCCUUCCUAUUAUGCUUGAUGUUGGCACCAACAAUGAAAAGCUUCUAAAAGAUCGUCUCUAUUUGGGACUAAGAGAACGAAGGUUCGAAGGAGAAGAAUACAUCUCAAUAGUGGAUGAAUUGAUGGAAGCUCUUCAUACACGUUGUUCGUUUAGGUGGCUCUUGAUUUCUUGGUGUUUUACUAUGAGAUUAUGGAUUUACUUGAAAGGGCCUGUAUACAUAACCUUCCGCCACCACCUAGAUGGUUGCAAUCUAGACGAGACACAUCACCUGGUAAUCUUAACAACACCAUCUAUAAUGUCAUGAAAGGAUAUUAAGUUCAUGGAAAAAAGGAUUGAAGAUCUUUAAAAGAGCUUGAAGAGGAGCAAUGACAAAUAGUUAAAAGUAGAGCAUGAAGUGUGUUUGAAGAUUAAGGUCGCACUAUCUCCUAUCUGCAACACGGUUUUCUUGAAUUGGCCUACCUCAUGUGAUCCACCAAUGCAGAGAUCAUCAGGUCUAUGGAAGCUUUGUGUCUUGCUUAUAUUUCGGCUGAUAUCUUUACACCGGCACGAAGUAAUCUCUUACACAUGCGAGCAAAAAAGGAAGGAUAGCAGAGGUCCAUUCCAACUUUUGGAUUGGAAUGGUGUUUUGUUUGAAUGUUUAAAGGCUGGAUAGUCACAUCAAACUUCAGUCUAAAAGGAUGGUCUUCUCCUUGCAAAGGAAUCAUCCUUUUAUUAUGUGGCUCUCUGAACACAUCGUAAUUGUUGCCGUUUUAUAGAACAAUUCAAAUAUAACCAUUAAGAUGAUUGGUGGAGGUGAAGGGGAAUUGAAGAUAUCAACAGAAGAAGUGGAUUUAGAUACUACAUGAUAUAAUGCUGUCAAUUGGGGUGAUGUCAUGAAACAAUGGAGAGUUCCAUGGGGCAAAAUGGUUGUUUUUAAAUGGUCCAAGAGUCAAAAGAUGCUUUGUUUGCAGUAGAUCAAGAAAUUUGAAAUCUCAUAAAAUCGUUGUUACCAAUUUUAAUGUUUAGAAAACAUUAUUAUAUU